UCUAUGGAGGUCUAUGGAGGUCUAUGGAGGUCUAUGGAGGUCUAUGGGGUCUAUGGGGUCUAUGGAGGUCUAUGGGGUCUAUGGAGGUCUAUGGAGGUCUAUGGAGGUCUAUGGGGGUCUAUGGGGUCUAUGGAGGUCUAUGGAGGUCUAUGGAGGUCUAUGAGGUCUAUGAGGUCUAUGAGGUCUAUGAGGUCUAUGGGGUCUAUGAGGUCUAUGG